UAAAACCCGGAAAUUAGUUACCAUUCAUAUGGCGAAAAUGAAUGAGGAAAGAAUAGGCUUUUGGGAUAAACGCGAAAAUAAGGUCUGAGGUUAAUACAGGCUUAGGAUAUCUUAUACGUUUUGUUCUACGAGAUAAUAUUAGUCAGUUAACCUUAACCUUUAUUAAUUAUGAAGCAUUUAUGUGCUUUUUCAAAUGACACAAAUGCUUCCAAAUUCACAAAAAAUAACGUUGGCUGAUGAUUAUCUCCUACAAAAAGACGCCAUUAGGAUAGAAAACAAAAACUGUAUCAAUACAUUAGCUCAACAUUGGAAAAAUUGCCCAUUUAUAUUAGUAAAAAAAACAACAGAAAGAAGCACGAGGGUUUCGCAAGAAUUGUCUGCUUUUUCUUGAAUAAGUCUGCUUUUAUGUCAUAUUGUUUCAUUGAACACUAUCUCCCAGAAAGCCUUGCGCCAAGGCAAAGCAGGAAGAUAUUUUUUCGUCUGCAACUUCGGGAAUUUAGCCAGAAGGCCGCUCUGCGCUAGAGAAACCCUGAAAUAAGUUGAAUCUUCUUGGCCUAUUUCAAUUUGGCAAUGAAAUAGCUAUUGAGAGAGUGUGUUGCUCAGGCCCUGGGGAGAGUGGUGUGUGUCAGUGUGUGUUACAGAAACACCAGCAGUGAGUGUAUGUCUGUCUGUAAUCUGCUUCCGCCGGCUGUUUGUGGCAUCGGCUGUGAAGUGAACAGGAAGACAGAGGGUUGAAGAGAGAGAAAAAGAAAAAGAGAAGAGAGAGGUAGCUGCCGACAGCAUGACUGAGUUCUGGGUGUGUUUCAGCUGCUGCAUUGGAGAGCAGCCUCAGCCUAAGAGGCGGCGGAGGAUAGACCGUUCAAUGAUCGGAGAACCAACCAACUUUGUUCACACAACACACGUAGGCUCAGGAGACAUGGGCGUUGGGCUCUCAUCAGUGAACUCAGUUCAGGCCCAGAUGAAAUCUAAAGGAGGUUAUCAAGGAGGGUCUGAGAGCAAUCAGGAAUAAUGAGACAGAUAAGAAGCCUGUGCUAACUACUGCUGUAGAUCUGAAGAGGAGGCGUUGUAAAGACACUCUUACCUGAACCAGACAAAGGACCAAACAAUGAAACCACCCUGGAACGUGUAUAUAAUUCAUUUAUAUUAAAUCACUGCUAUCUGUCUGUCUGCCAUGCUGUUGCACUGUAAUAGUAGAAAACGGAUCACAAUCGUUUGUGUGCGUGUGUGUGCCUGUGUGAACAAAUGUUUUACUCAACUGUUCAGGAGUGUGUGGUCGUGUUUUUAGGCCUUGCCUGUAUUUAUAGUCGGAUUUGUGGAAAAAUUACCUUUCAUGUGGUGGCUGGGCCAUUGUGGAGAUAUGAGGCACAUGAUUAGUAGUAUCUGCUUCAUUAUCAAAUCAUAAACUACAGACUUGAAAUGUCUAUCUGUUUGUGUCCCAAAUGGAACCCUAGUCCUUAUAUAGUGUGCUACUUUUGACCAGAGACACAUGGCCCUGGUCAAAAAUAAUGCACUAUAUGGGGCAUAGGUUGAAAUUGGGGACAGAGACCAUGUUAACUGCUUUAUUCUGUUAAACAUCCCAUGUUCUUUGAGUUGCCUUCAGGAGUAAGUAAAGAAUGCUGUUUUCCAAUAAACUUGAAAUGUGUAGGUAGGGCACACUGGACCAUUUUGUUUCUUGUACACACUUGUUCAGAAGCUUUUAAGCUUUUGUAUUGAUUUCGGCCAAUGUGUUUUUAUACAUGUAGUAUUUUUCUCAUUCAUUAGCUAGAAUCUUAAUAAAAAAAUGUUCUAUGCCAUCUUA